rnacentral:rRNA from 1 species
AGUGAACGCUGGCGGUAGGCCUAACACAUGCAAGUCGAACGGCAGCACAGUAAGAGCUUGCUCUUACGGGUGGCGAGUGGCGGACGGGUGAGGAAUACAUCGGAAUCUACUUUUUCGUGGGGGAUAACGUAGGGAAACUUACGCUAAUACCGCAUACGACCUACGGGUGAAAGCAGGGGAUCUUCGCACCUUGCGCGAUUGAAUGAGCCGGUGUCGGAUUAGCUAGUUGGCGGGGUAAAGGCCCACCAAGGCGACGAUCCGUAGCUGGUCUGAGAGGAUGAUCAGCCACACUGGAACUGAGACACGGUCCAGACUCCUACGGGAGGCAGCAGUGGGGAAUAUUGGACAAUGGGCGCAAGCCUGAUCCAGCCAUACCGCGUGGGUGAAGAAGGCCUUCGGGUUGUAAAGCCCUUUUGUUGGGAAAGAAAAGCAGCAGGUUAAUACCCCGCUGUUCUGACGGUACCCAAAGAAUAAGCACCGGCUAACUUCGUG